rnacentral:lncRNA from 1 species
GUCCUGAAGAAAACAAAUAUCCCUAGGUCCCAAGAACAACACAUUUCCAGGUGUUUAACACUUUUAUUAAGAAAGCCGAAAACAAAAAUGCAGAUGCCUGGAAAGACAAAACUGCCUUUGUGUAUUAGCAGAGGCAGAGCUGUUGCUGUAACAGCUGGAGCUUAGAGGAUCACCUAGGUCCAAGUCUUCGCAGGUAGCAGGUCUCCUGAGAUUCAGGCGGUUUUUGUACAUUAGCCCAAAAGCCCUUUGAAGUCAUGGCCAGCAGCUUAGGCACCCUGGCCUGUCAGAAGCAGGAUCAUGAUCAGGGCAGUCUCCACCAUAACAGAUCUCAGGUUCCAGUUCUUUCUCCAACAUGCUGAGCAGGCCCCGCCAGGGUUCAUUUCUCUGUCUUUCUCCUGGUCCACCUCUCCUGGGGACAUCUGGAGCUCCUUCUGUUUCUCACGUUGGAAAACCUCUGCACCCCACUUCCUGGCAUAGUUCAUUCUAGGAUGAUGUCUCAAGCAAUCCCAGCUACUAAGUCCACAGGGAAGGGGAAACAGUUCCCAAUCAACAGAACAGCCAUUCUCAAAGCAGUGGCUUGGCUCUGCCCAGAAACACGGUGGCCAAGAUUUGGGAAUACCAUGGACUCAGGGUUGACAGGAAGUGUGGACUUCCUGGUGUGUGCUGUGAAGAAUCUGACAUGUCUUCCACAAAAACAGGGGCAGACCAGUUCUGUUGUCUUGGCUUCACCAAUGUAACACAGACAGCAACUCCUGGAACCUCUGAUUGAGAAGUCAAUUAACUUUUUAUCCUCUAACUUCUAGGCCCCUCCCAACCGGUACUCUUCAGGAUGCUAGAAUGUAACUUCAUAACCCCAUCAGUUGUUUGCAUUAAAUAGGAGGUAAACUCUGAAGAUCCUGGUGCUGUAUGCCUUUAAUCCCACUGGGGAAUUAGCCAGGGGGCAGAUGGAUCUCUGAGUUCCAGACCAGCCUGAUCUACAGAGCUAGUUCCAGGACAGCAACAGAGAAAGACAGGGAAAUCCUAUCUUAAAAAACAAUCAAAAUAUGAAAACAAAACAAAAUAUAGUAAAGAUUGUGAUGGUAAAAUCUUAUCAUCCCUGAUAAGAUUAUCUAGAGUUAAACAUUAUACAGGACUAAUGGAGAAAGCACUAAAGUAUGGGGAGGUCUACUUGGGAUGCCUGAUUUAGAGAAUGUGUGUUUUAUCUUGGAAGUCAUUUUUCAUUUGUUCUUUCAAGUCAAUGUGCUCUAGAGGAAUAGAAUUUAUAAAGUCAUCUUACUUACAGGCUGUGAUCCAGCUUAUUUAACAAUGGCUGACUAUGAUCUGAAAGUCCGAGAAGCCAGAAGUUGCUCAGUCUAUUAAAAUGGAUAUCUCAGCAGGUCUUCAGUAAUCCCUGGAAUCCUUAGGAAGUAAGCUCUGAUGCUAGUGAAGUAAUAUACUUGCUAGCAAGGUGAGAGUUCUCAGGCUAAGUGAAAAAACUUCCUUCUUCAUGUUCUUUUAUACACUUCCAGCAGAAUGUGUUGCCCAGGUUUAAAUGUAUGUCUUCCUGCUGGAGAUCUGCAUUACAGGCAUGUCUGGAUUAAAAGUUGUGUUGUCCCAGCUCAAAAGAUCUGCUUUGAUGUUGUCUUCAUACCUCAAACAUCUGGAUUGUAAACGGAUCUUCCUACUGUAGGCAAAACUACCUCUCAGCCUGAGGAUUUUGUGGAACACAUGAGCUGUAGAGGAAAAAAUAAAGAGCAGAAUAUAGAAGAAAAAUAAAGAAAAAGAAGAAAAGCAUCAAGAGUGUGUAGAACCCCACCCUCAAGCCAACACCCAAUCCCACCCCAUUCAUAGUCUUCACAAGUCCAAGACAACCUCAGUAUUUGGCUAUGGAACAUUCUGGAGUUGACUAGAACAGCCUAGAGCACCUAGCAGCAGGACACCACUACUGUCCUCAGCUAGACCCUCGGUUUCUCCAGGUUUUAACCAGGACCUUUGGCCCACAGUUUCUUUCCUGGUGCCAGCAGCUGUAUUUUCCUUUGAGACUGAGGCUUUCUGAAUCUCAGCCUGAGAAGGAUGCCACCCAUUCCACUUCUCUCAGACAGAUAAACCUGCCCACUUUCUUGGGCACCUCAGAGUGAGGCUGAGCUGGACUCUGGUAUUUCCCUCUAGUUUGGUGUUGGCACAAACACUCAGUCAAACUCAGCUGCUAAAGACGCGCCUACACAUUCAAGUUCGUGCCCUGUACAGAUCACCAAACGAGUGCCUAGGUCGGCUUCACGUCUAAACACCUGGCUUGCAACUGGUCCUUUUACUGAACGACACACAAGGACCUCCUCCGUGUGGAAUACAACUCCAGGAGACAACCACGACAAUGUACCCUGACGAUCUCUUAGGCCCAAACUCAAGGUUUGAACCAGCCUUGAAGUCGUCUGCAGGUGUGCAAUUACUAAACCCUCCCUCCUUUCCCUACUGGUCGGUGGGCAGAGCAGGAGCCAAUGAGGAAGUCCAUUGGUUAAGUCAAAACACCUUGGUCUCAGGUGCCCUUCUCGGCUUGGGAGCUGUAAGAUGGAGGCUUCUUCAUCACAGGGAUGGCCAGCAUUCAUCCCAUUUUAGCCGUCCUAUGCUGCAGUUUUCCGGAUCUGUAAUCCGUGAUCCCCAAGUUCCGUGAGUCGUCCGUGGAGCCGACUUCUGAUCUGCUGUCAGUAGGCGGUGGGCUGCAAUCCGUCCGCAAUUUCCAUCCGUUUCCGUGAUUUUCUGCUUCGGUCCUUUCGUUUUGCGGCCAUAAUAGGCUCUGCCAGGACGAUGUGAGCAAAUGCUGCAAGAAAAGGCUGACCCCUCGGUGCCAGUGUGCACAAGACCGGUCCGGAAUGCGCGGUUUCAGUUUGUUUCGCGUCCGCUAUGCUCAGCUCGCCCUCGUUUCUAAACGCUGAAAGUUCUUUCGAUUUCUUUCGUUUGUGGAGAUCGCUCUGACUGCGGUCGCACGUUUUCAGUCAGGCAAGUGUAUGUAGCUAUGGCCUCCCGUGCAUUUGCCAAUGCCUGCCUGACAGCAGCUCACUGGCCCCUCCGGGGAUAGUACAGCCCCGCAUUCCUGGGAAAGUUUAUGGUUAAUCGGCCUAUCUGCUUGUUCAAGCUCGUGGAUGAGCACAGAAGGAGACGGGGCCAAAGAAGAGGUCCUAGCUAGAAGCCUAAAUCCUUCUAGAAGCAGAUCUACAGCAGAGCUGCAGGCCGGCCUCUUCUUCGGGCCUCUUCUUCACUUCAGGGGACGCUGCCCAGCCCUUCACCUCCAAGCGAUUUGUAGCCGGCACUUUUGGUUUUCCCCGCCCGCUUUCGGCAAACCUCCGCAAUUCGUUCUCCUAGCGAGCCAAGAUAUGUUCAUAUCUCAGCAGCCCUGGACUGAAAUUCAACGGUGAUUUCAAACCGCAAACAGGAUUUUGUUCCAUGGUGGUUUUAUUUACCCCCUGAAUCAGGCUCUGCCAGGCAUAUUCGAAAACUCCUCCGAUUUCUUUCAUUUACCGAUUUUGUUCAGAGUUCCGUCCGGCAAACGAACUUUUUAAGCCAAACAAGUUAACCAAUUCAUCAGACCCGGCCCCUCCACCACCAGGAAGACUACAAAUAAAAGACUGAUGGAUACCACUAGAAGGGCAAUACUAAUACAGCUUUUCCCGGAUUGUUAACAGAGAGCCCAAAUGGAUUUCAGUUCCUGGAACUCAGAGAUCUGCCUUUAAAGUUUGUCCCACCAACUGACUAAGGAUGCAUAGAUCUUGAUAAAGAUCUCAUUCCAAGGUUUGCUUCUGCAAGAUGAUCUGAAAAAGUCAGUCCCUAUCAUCAAGAGAGAAACUGAUCCUCAAGAGAGAGAGAUGUUUGUUCCUGCUCCAAGACACAAAUAAGAAGUUGGCCCUUUUGACAUGAAGAAUUUGAAGACAACUGUCCUAAUGGGAUUUAAUCCUUUCUUUUUAUUGUUUCCUUUGGAUUUUUGAGGCAGAGUCUCUAUAUAGCCCUGUCUGUCUCACUCUCACUACUUAGCCAAGGCUUGUCUAGAACUCUGAGAGAUCCACAUGGUUAAAGGGUGAGCCACCACACCUGGCUUUAUUUAUGCAUUUAGUAUAUUUGUAUGGGAAAGCAAGUGCCAUAGCCAGAGUGUAGAAGUCAGAGGGUGAUUUCCAAACCUAGGUCUUCAGAAUUGGCUGCAGGUACCUUUACUGAAUAAAACUCCUUGCUAUCUCUGCUUUCACAAAUGCACUAAUUCAGAGUUAUUGCUGAAAAAAAAUCCCCAAAGUCAAAAUCAUAGUUAUAAAACUAGAAUAGUGGCCUUUGUCUAAAUUAGUGGCAUUUUUAUUGAUAUGCAUUCAUUAACUUGUUUUAUUCAACUUAAAAAACAUGCUUAAGCCCACAAUAAUCUUUGAAUUCUGUCUUCUUCUAUUAUACCAUUAAAAUGCAGGCUGUUAUGUUUGUUUGUUUGUUUGUUUGUUUGUUUGUUUGUUUAGAAUAGGGUCUCAUUAAGUAGAGCAGUGGCUGGCCAGAUACCCGCAGAUCUGUAUAAAUAUUGCUUUUUGUACCAACUGCCCACUCUUUGUUCCAGUAGCUGCUCCCCAAUUUCCUCUCAGAGGCUUAAAUUAAUUAUAAAUGCUUGCCUAUAUAGCUGGGUCCUAACAGUUCCCUCAGGGGACAGGGUGAGAAGGUGUGGUGUCAAUGAACACCAGAGUCAGAUGAAAAGAAACAGCAGACUCAUUAUUUAGCAUGGGGGGGAUGGAUUUUAUAUUCCCUCCCAGCACCCCAGCAUUCCUAUCUGCUGGCAUUGCAUGGUUGACCCUCAUUGGCUAGGCAUAAUCAGGACCUCUGACGGUGACUGUUGCUAGACCCUCAGACAGCACCAGGUAGACUCCAAGUUGGCUCAUCUCUCUCUGCCUUGGCCUUGUAGGCCUUAAUGUCCUACAGGCCAAUAGCUCAGGCUUAUUACUAACUAGCUCUUACAUUUUAAGUUAACCCAUAUUCCUUAUUUACAUGGAAUUACCUUUAUUAGCAUGGCAUGUUCAACUCCUGAUCCCUCUGCAUCUGGCUGGUGACUCAUGACUUCCCCCAUUUUCCUUCCUAUCAUCCUUAGUUUGGCUGCCUGGCUAUUGGACAAUCAGUGUUCUAUUAAACCAAUUUGGGUGCCAAAUCUUUACAGUGUACAAGAGGAUUAUUCCACAGCAAAUAUGCAUACCUCUGCCUCCCAAGUGCUGAAAUUAAAGGCUUGGGGGCUGGAGAGAUGGCUCAGAGGUUAGGAGCAUUGGCUGCUGACUGCUCUUCCAGAGGUCCUGAGUUCAAUUCCCAGCAACCAUGAAAAUUAAAAAAAAAGUAAAGCCUUAUGCCACCAAGCCUGUCUAAAGACUCCUUGUCCUGUCUUAUUUAUUUUAAAAACUUUUCAUACAUGCAAAUAACAUGUUUUAAUUAGAUCCACCCCAUGCCCCAGCUGCCCACUUCUCUCUAUCAACCCCAAUACAUCCACCAUUUUUCUCUCUGAGCUUUUUCUUGAAAUGCCGGCUUGCUAUGCUGCAUGGGCUGCUGGAGAUCUCUCCACCCACCUCCACCCUUCUCCAAAGUAAUUGGAAUUAAAGGGAUGUGAUGCCAAGUGCAGUCAAAGCAUGCUUUUAGCAUGUCACACACUCAAUGCACUAUAAUAAUUCCACAGGGUCUGAUCUUGUUGUGUUCCAUAUUAUCGGCAUAAUCAAAGAAACAGAGUCACCCUAAGAGGUACUUCAGACUCUGCAGUAGCAGGAAGGGACGGUUUUGAGGAACUGAACUUUCAACAGCCUUUCAGAAGCCUAUUUGUUGAUUGCUACACAAAGGUUGGUUUCUUUGGGUAAAACAAGUUCCUCAUAACAAUGCCCCUAAUCUAAACUAUAUGUUUUCUGAAGGAAAAUACCUUUCCCCCUACAAAGUUAGCCGGUAUUGUGUACUAUUUGCAGAACCCAAUCAUGCAAGCUGUUCCUGGUAUGGUAGGAUUGUCUUGUGACUAAAGUCAUGCAAAGGCUGCAAAACUUCAGAAAAACAACUCUAUAAAUCACAGAAAACAAUCACUGUUUUCCCACAAUGAUUCCAACAUCUAAGAGUUUAAGGAAAACAAUACUUCAUUCUAUGCUUACCCUACAUACAGUAAAAGAAAAAAAGAACUAUUUCAUUUAAUAUUUACCCUACAUGAAAUGAUUCUACUAGAUUUCUACUACAUGAUCGAUUUAUGAAACUUGAUUCUUCUUUCCAAAGUCUUGCUAUGGUAAACUAUAAUGAUGCCAACAUUCUUUAAUAUUUCACAGUGCUCACCUGCAGGAGUUAUUGUUGAACACAUAUAUUAAAUGUAAUAACUAGUGGUUGAGACUGUAAAUUGAACUGUCUGUCAUAAUAUAAUUCCCCAAAGUAGACACCAUCAUCUUGAAAUCAUGACAUAUUUGCAUUAAUCAGAACAGUAGUGAUUUUUCUGGUAUGACUAUAUUUUCAAAUGUAUUCAACAAGCUGCUCUAGGUCAUUAUGCCAUGGUCUACAUCUGUUGAUGCCAACUGCCAUAUUGUCGGAUUAUUUGAUAGCCUUUAAAAAAAUCAGUUACAUCUAUUUCAAAAUUCUAUGUAAAUUUAUGAACACAAUUAAAUGGUUCGCUCGGAACCUUCGUUCUUUCCUAUAGAAUAUGGGUUAUUCACUCUAUAAUCCUCUAGGCAAGUACGUGUCUUACGCCCCUCCCACUCCCCCCAAA